UACAGAGGAUGCAAGCGUUAUCCGGAAUGAUUGGGCGUAAAGCGUCUGUAGGUGGCUUUUUAAGUCCGCCGUCAAAUCCCAGGGCUCAACUCUGGACAGGCGGUGGAAACUACCAAGCUGGAGUACGGUAGGGGCAGAGGGAAUUUCCGGUGGAGCGGUGAAAUGCGUAGAGAUCGGAAGGAACGCCGGUGGCGAAAGCGACGUGCUGGACCUCUUCUGACGCUGAGGCGCGAAAGCCAGGGGAGCGAACGGG
rnacentral:rRNA from 1 species